UGAGCAGGCCUGCACUGCCAUAACAAUAGCAAUGGUUGCUGUCCUGGCAUGUCAGCCCCAGAACCAAUCCACGAGAUGUCCACUUGCGCUAGACUUGAGCUCUUUGUGCCCGAUUUUAGGAGUUUUAGAUCUGAUCACCAUAGCUGAGGUCUGGCUUUAUACCAGGACUGCUCAACUUCAGCCCUCCUGUAGAUGCUGGCCUACAACUAGAGGAUGAACUCCAGCAUAGCUUGACCUCUUUCUUCCUUCUUCCACCUUCUGAAAGAUGAAGUUGUCAACAAGGCAGAUCAAGGACCUCCCACUCUUAGCAAACUUUGAUCCAGUUCGAACAACACGGCAACCCUCAGUUACACUACCCUGGUGUUAUUCAGGGUCUAUAAUAAAGAACAGAGGUCUAUAAUAAAUUCCCACAAUGG